rnacentral:tRNA from 1 species
GUCGACGCUGGCCAACGCGGUGGCGCGGCUGCUCAAGCCGCCGGCGCUGGUGACCGCCGGCGAGGUGCUGUACCACCCGGCCGGCGGCG